GAUGAACGCUGGCGGCGUGCUUAACACAUGCAAGUCGAACGGUGAACGAGGGAGCUUGCUCCCUCCGGAUCAGUGGCGAACGGGUGAGUAACACGUGAGCAAUCUGCCCUGGACUCUGGGAUAAGCGUUGGAAACGACGUCUAAUACCGGAUACGAGGCGUGGGGGCAUCCCCAACGCCUGGAAAGAACUUCGGUCCAGGAUGAGCUCGCGGCCUAUCAGCUAGUUGGUGAGGUAACGGCUCACCAAGGCGACGAUGCGUAGCCGACCUGAGAGGGUGAUCGGCCACACUGGGACUGAGACACGGCCCAGACUCCUACGGGAGGCAGCAGUCGGGAAUUUUGCGCAAUGGACGAAAGUCUGACGCAGCAACGCCGCGUGAGGGAUGACGGCCUUCGGGUUGUAAACCUCUUUUGUCAGGGACGAUGAUGACGGUACCUGACGAAUAAGCCACGGCUAACUACGUGCCAGCAGCCGCCGUAAGAC
rnacentral:rRNA from 1 species